AUCGCAUCAGCUGCUGGGGUGGAGC
rnacentral:misc_RNA from 1 species